UGUCUGCGCUGAUUCCUUGUUCGUCUCCUGCACCUCUCUUCCCCACGAAGAAGCAAAGAAUCAAAAUCCCAAACCCUUUCCUCACCGGCUUCUCCUCCCCUCUCCCAUGGCGGAUAUCGGCGUCUGACUCUGAUUUCGUGGAGGAUGAGGAAUUGAAUUGUAGGGUGGACAAGGCUUUUUUUUGGUAGUGUUUAUGUCGAAAUUGCAGAACUAGGGGUCCAAAGAACAAUGGAUGGUAAUAAGGAUGAAGCCUUAAGGUGUCUGAGAAUCGCGAAAGAUGCCAUUGCCUCUGGUUAUAAAGGACGAGCCGUGAAAUUUAUCAACAUGGCUAAGCGACUUUACCCGAGUUUAUCUGCUGAUGAGCUUGUGUCUGCCUGUGAGAAGCUUGAUUCCGUUUCAAUGCACUCUCCUCGACAGAAAAGUCCAGAAAGUGUCGGGAAGGUCGACCGGAAAAGGGAUUAUACCAAGGAAAAUGUCGAGUUGAUUAGGCACAUAAGAAGGAACAACGAUUACUAUAAGAUUUUGGGCGUGGAGAAGAGUUGUUCGGUUGAUGAGAUCAGGAAAGCUUACAGGAAAUUGUCGUUGAAAGUUCACCCCGAUAAGAACAAGGCACCUGGUUCUGAGGAAGCUUUUAAGAAAGUUUCAAAGGCAUUUACAUGUUUGAGCGAUGGAAACUCGAGGAGGCAGUAUGAUCAGGUCGAUCUUGUUGAUGAGUUUGAUCAUGUCCAGGGGCAAUAUCAUAGUAGGCCGAGGAAGAGGACAUAUACGCAAAAGGCCUUCUUUGAAGAUGAUUUCAUUCCUGAUGAGAUAUUCAGGGCAUUUUUCGGUCAAGGAGACAUGUUCCGUGAAUCUCAUGCCUAUAGAACUAGACAGACACGUAACCAACCCCGACAGGAGGAGCCUAACGGGGGUGGACCUAGUCGUUUAACGAUUCUUCAGAUACUACCGUUCUUGCUGGUUUUCUCUCUGGCUUAUCUACCUUUCUCCGUACCCGACUACUCGCUGCACAAGAACAUGUCUUAUCAGAUCCCAAAGACAACCCAGAAUCUUGGGAUCAGCUUUUAUGUCAAAUCACCUUCCUUUGAUGAGAAGUUUCCACUGGGUAGCUCUGCUCGAGCCAGCAUCGAGGAUAACGUGAUUAAGGACUACAGGAAAUUUCUUUUCCAUUCUUGCCGCAUCCAACUCCAGAAACGGCGGUGGAACAAGAAGUUGUCAACCCCACGCCGCUUCUUCUACCUUUUGUUCCUUGUUUAGCCUGUUGUCUGUCAUCACUCUGGCUACCUUACAUGAGAACAUACUAUAUUCCGUUGUUUCAAAUAAACCCGGUUGCAUGUUGUUGGAGAGCAUAACAUGGGAUGGGCAUAAACAUAUGCAACACAAGAUAUUUUCAUGUCUCAUAACUAUUGUAAGAUUUUCCAUACGCAUAUGAACCCAACACCUUCACAAUUAUCCGACCUGAGAAACCCAUUGUUUCAACUUCUACUCAUGAUAUACAGCUGAAAGUAGAAGCUUAGGAGCCAUGGAGGGACUUCAUGCCGGACUUUGAUUUUUUCGGCGGCUUUGGUGCUGCAUGAAAGACGGUCCAAGAGAUCAAGCGAUCGAUAGUCAGAGCGCGUAUGAAUGACAAUCAUUUCUAGUCUUUGGAGAUGAUAACAAAAGAUAGUGAGAGGACAAAGAUCCACCUCUUGUUUAUACUCAAUAUCACGAUGCCUAUAUGUGCUGCUAAUAAGAAAAAAAAAAUACAUGAAGGAUUGCAAUUUUCACAGAA